ACUUCUAUUUUAGUCUGUACUCAGUCCUCCGUUAUUCCAUUUUCUCUCACUUACUGAAACCAACCUCUCUUGUUUUAUUAAACUAUAUAAAAUUAGUUACUUGUAUUAUAAUAAAAAAUAUACAUACUUGCAUCAGCUAUUUUUCAAUUACUAAUAAGGUGAUAAUUGUCCAAAAGAUUAUGACGAGCUUCUCUUUCACGUGAAUUUGUUGAUAAACAUUUGGGUCUAACAUGCCAAGUGACAACCAGACAUGCCGAAUGGACUUGUUAAUUUUAAUAAACUGAGUUAAUAGCCUUUAUAUAAUGAUAAAUAUCUUCUAAUAACCUUAACUACAAUUAACCAAGUCAUAUACUGUAUAUCUGUGUUAGAAAUGUUAAUGGGUUUUGGAGGUACAGUAGUAGUGGUAAAAUCCUAUGCACAUACCUGACUGACAAACGAUCACACCUAUAACCAUGUUUAUUAAUUCCUCUUUUAGAUACACUAUAUUUCCAUCUCGUGUAGUGAUAUUUUUAUUAUGAAUGUCACUAGUUAGACCUGUCUCUUUUUUUUUCUUCUUAUAUUACUUUAUAUAGUGAACUCCUGCAUAAUAAAUGUUGAAACCUACGAUACUGAUGUAUAAUAAGACAAUACAAUGCUUUAAAUAUUUAAUGUAAUACACAAUUGUAUUUAUUCCGAUGCUCUUUUGUUUACCUCGCGCAUGAGCAGUGAGGAGUUAGUGUCUUUAUCUCCCAAACCUUAUUGUGUUGUGAAGUGAGUGAGAGGGUGGACGUGUUACGGACAGCUUCCAGUGAACUUUACAUUUCCUCACCGCUGGUUACAUUUUGGGCAGCAGAUAGAGCUAUAUACUUCUGUUGCUGUAGUAAAUUAUCUUCUCGGCUUCGUUGGUUCUUGUUAAAGAUUGGACUGUGGGCAGUCUGGUUGAUGAUCGUGUGUUGGGUAACAACAACCACAACAACAACAACAACAACUACUACAACAACAUUCAUCCUCUAAGAAUAACUUGACUUCAUCUCUUACUAAAGGACUGGCUGGCUAACUCAUCUUGUUUUGAAGACUUCAAAUAGUGUGGAGGUUUUUAUGGAGAUAGGACUUGUGGGAAGACAAUGGGGAAAAUCAACAAUAGAAACUCCAUGGUGUCAACUAGACGCAGGCUAAUAAAGGCAUCUUCCGGGGUGGGUGUUAAAAAAAGCCGUAGUCCAGCUAAGGUCUCCCUGCCACCCCCACCCCCACCACCACAGUCACUUGUGGUGGAUGAAGACUCUGGCUUUGGUGGUGACCAGUCCUUGGACUCGGAGUCAUCCGUGCUGUCAACCCUGGGACCAUCGGGAGCGGGAGUGGCUUCCUUGCCGUCGGUUCUUCCUUCGCUAGCGAUGGUACCCCAAGCGAAACUGUUGCUAGUCAGUUUGUUGCAAGGUGCUGGAGGCGUGCAAGGUACGGGGACCAGCCAGAAAACCUCAGGAAACAUUGCGGUAGGGGCUUUUCCCCCCACAACACAAGCGAGCGUCAGUAAUGGCACCAACCAAACGGGGAACACUCAUGGUGCAGUGAUGUCCAGUGGUGCAGACAAGGAGGGUCAGAGCUCUCAGAGUGUACGGCCCUUGCUGGCUGCUGCCUCCCUCAGUCUCCAGGGUGCAACUGGCACUGAUGUUCUGUCUGAGCUGCCAGCAGCCAGCACCAACUCUCCCUCCAACUACCCCUCUGAGCCUGUGGCAUUUGGAAAUACAGGCCAUAAGGUGGUGGAGAACAAGUUCAGUAUCUGUGACAAGAAUCUACAUGUGGAUUUAGGGGGUGAGGAGGCCCAGGAACUGCCUGCUUCUAGAGGAACUACAAAAACACACUCAGUACCACCACUAAUAUCCUUCAGGGAUGUGUCUCUUCUCUCUUCAUUAAACCCAUUUCAGGGCAGUAGAGGUACUUGUGGUGCUUCAUUACUGUGUGUAGACGGAACUCCACAACCAUGUGGACGCAGUAACAAGAUACUCAAAUCAAAUGUUCCCCAUACAUCCCCUCCCCUCACCUCUCAGCUGUCACCCACUUCCUCUGAUGGAACAAUAGAACUGAAGCUCAUCACCCAGCCAGAGGAACAACACCGUGCACGCUACCAGACUGAAGGCUCCAGGGGGGCUGUUAAGGAUAGAACAGGGUUGGGUCAUCCUACAGUGAAGCUGUGUGGAUAUAACAAACCGACAGUAGUUCAGGUGUUCGUUGGGUCUGACACUGGAAGGACGGGACCACACAUGUUCUACCAGGUUUGUCGCGUCAGUGGCAAAAACUCGACGCCGUGUAAGGAACGGAGACUUGAUGGUACUGCGUUGAUUGAGGCUUCUCUUGACCCCGAAACAAACAUGAUCAUGAGUUGUGACUGUGUAGGCAUCCUGAAAGAGCGGAAUGUGGAUGUGGAGCACAGAUUCAAGGCUGCAGUGUCACGAGGUCGCAAGAAGAGCACUAAAUGUCGUCUAGUAUUCCGUACAUUUGUCACGCUCACCAAUGGCACUCGGGAAACUUUACAAGUGGUCUCACAGCCUAUUGCCUGUACUCAGCCACCUGGUGUCCCAGAAAUCUGCCGCAAAUCACUUACCAAGUGCUCUCUAGCUGGUGGGGAGGAGAUGUUCAUCUUGGGCAAGAAUUUCCUCAAGGACACAGUUGUGAUCUUUCAUCAAAAUGGCACCAAGUCUCAGCCAAUCUGGGAGGAAAAAGUCUCACCAGACAAGGAAACUCUCCAGUCUAUUCACUUAAUUGUGACAGUUCCUAAGUAUUAUGAUCAGUCCAUCACUGAGGAGGUGACAGUGGACGUGAUUGUGUCCUCCGGAGGCAAAACUUCCGAAUGCCACAGCCUGACGUACGUGCCGCUUGUGACUAAGAGAGAACUGCCAAUCAUUGAAACCCAGGAAGAUAACCCCUUACCUAAAGGAGUUUCACCCUGUGCCUUGCAACUGAAUCGUCACUACGCAGAAACAGGAACACUGCCGACUCACCUGUCAGAGACCACUGCUGCACCUGUCCUCGCCACCUCAGACAUGAGUGCACCUCGAGUACCAACAACUCAAGCUGUGGUACCGCCACUGCGGGUGUCACAUCUGAUGCUGAACUCUGCAUCCAGCAAAAAAACUAACUGUCAUGCCCAGCGCUACACAUCUCGCAUCCCCAAAACUUCUCUACAUGGCAGGUCUCCAACACCAUCUACAAGGUCAAGAUUGACAGAGGUAUCAGUAUCAUCAGUGUCUGAUAGUGGUAGUGUGGUUACAGAAAAAAGACAAGAAAGGCAAGGAAAAGUGCAAGGCGUGCAAGGCACAGUAAGCCUUGAAAGCUUGGUUGAAAUGCUGAAAGUAGUGCAGAAAUUCCCAGCUGACUCUAACAUACAUACCUCUGUUCUGCAGUUGGUAGAAGAACUGGUCAAAUCUAUGAAAAAGAAUAUUUCAUCCCCAUGUAAAACAGAAAUAGAAGAGGAAUUGGUGAGUAAACAAGAUAAGCAUCAUCGUACAUCAUCAGAAACCAUGGAUAGUGAUGUACUAACCUCAGAGGUAUCAGGCAGCUGUGGUCAACAAAGCAACAAGACUCAGAAGUUGGCAUCUCAUUCUGCUUCACCAGUGUCUCAAGGGACACUCACAAGUAAUAACCCCUCCAGCAAUGUAACUCUGCCUAUAGCUACUACUGUCAGCCUACUCCCACUUACAUUAUUUUCUGCAAUGCCUUCCACAGUGUCUUCUGGGUCUAGAGUGGCACGUGUGGCACCAAUAAACCCAGUGGCACCCACUACUGUAGUUUCUUCUCCAGGACUGACACGCACAGUCAGGCUGUUUGUAGGUGAAGCUUCCAAUUUCUUGCAGGAGCCACCAGUGAAGAAACAACGUGAAGGUGUCCUCCCUAUGGACUACCAGUUGCUCAGGAAUAACCGGUUUGAACAAGGAUCACUUGUCUCAAGCAACUUUCCAGACACUGUUGUGACACAAUCCCGUGCCAGCACUACCCUUAAUCCUGUUACACCUUUAUUGCCAUCAAAGGUUGUCAGUAACCAGUGUAGCUCUGAUGGUUCCCUUAAUGCUUCAUCACCCACCAUGGAAACUGAAACUUGCAGACUUGAUCUCUCUACAUCAGAGGAAGUUAUGAAUGCAUCAUCCCAGCACAUUAAUGAAACUCAAGUUGAUUCUCCUCCUCCUCUAACAGUGUAUCAGCCUAUCAGUCAAUCAGUAAUGCAUAACAUUGGUCAGGCAACAACCCAACAAAAUGUGCAGUCCAUAAAUGUCAACCAGAGAGUUACACAAACAACCUGCCUGGACACAGCACGGCAAACAAGCCAGACUAUCAGUCAGCUGCCAACUCCACCAGAUGGACAAAUCAUCAAUCAACAUGCAAGUCAGCAAAAUAUGACAGUACACACAAGUUUACCUGUAAGUGUCUCAGACCCACUCUUGUCUCAGUCUACCAGACUAUGUCCACUCUUGACAAACCGUGUGAUAGUAACAUCAACCACCACAAGCCAGGUGGCCAUGUUACCUUCUACACCUUUGACGUCAUCAUUAACUCGCUCUGAUCCACUCUUGUCUCAGUCAAGCCCAGUUGCCCCCAUACACAUAGAUGCAAACACACCAGCACCUGUUGCAAGGAAUGAACCAGUGAACACUAGGGCAAGAGGAGACCCACUUAUGGCACCCAACCCUACAGCCACCCAAGUGUCUAUGCAGAAUGAAGUCACUUCUGCCAUCAAUCUCUCUGAGACUGAGCUGUUGAAUUACUUCGAUCCAAAUUGUUUUGAUAAUGUGUGAAGGUGAAUGCAGGGAAGCAUGUUGGAUUCAGUACAUUAUGCAGAGAAAACCAGUCUGGUGGAUGACAUUGGGACAAGAUCAUCAAACAGAAAUCUCAUGUGUGUGCUGUAGAAUGAGAUUGCAUUUUAUUGUACUGUUGUCAUGAAGAAGCAAUGGUUCCAGACAUUAAAAGUGUUGGUGCUCAUGGAAGUGGGUAUAUUAAUUGGUCAUGAUUUGAUCAGAACUUCACCAGAUUGACCAAGAAAUGUGUCACUGGAUACAGGCAAUAGUAACCAUAGAAAUUAUAUUGCUGUCUUCAGACACUGUAAUGGGCAGUACAAAUUAAUGUUUGUGCAAUAUCUUUUUGGUGUAUAUUUUUCUUUUACUUUAUAAGGAACUAUAUGUUGCCAAAUUUAUUAAAGAGUGGGCUAAUAAGUGGCUAGAUAAGAGAUGGAAGGUGAAUAUACCAGGGUAUGUAUCAGAUUCAGUCUUGAGUGACAUAUAUGUAAAUUUUUAUUAUGAUGUAUCAUCAGGAAAUGUAUGAUUAAAUAUUUUUGUUAUUGGUCAUUCUUGAAAUUUAGGUUGACUUUUCUCAAGUGCCAAUGCUAUGUGCUUUCAGCUGGUACAAUAUCAUACACAAGCUGUGAGAACAAAUAACUUUUAAGGCUGAUUGUUGUAUUCAUGCCAACUCAAAGCAUGCCAACUAAACUUUGAGUUCCUUAUUGUUCUCCAUUUGGUCAUAACCUAUAAACUCUGCAGAUGAAAGUAGAAGAAAAAAAAUUGGUUCUGGUCUUCCUCAUGUUUGUUUUUAUACAGUAUGACCUACCCAAGGUGUCCUUCAGUUGUCUAAGAAUGUUAAUUUACAACAUGUAAAGAUACUACCACCUGUGUCCUGUACUUCAAUCAUUGAAGAUUUUGCUAUCAGUUUAGCAAGACAAAUAUUUCAACUCUCUAGUUUGUGAUUUAUGUAUUAAAACACAUGUGGGAAAGGCCAGCUGUUUAAUUUCAGAAGUUUACUUGAUUGCUAAUUCUUAAAAUGUAUAUUUACUUCGGAGGCAGAUUUAUUCAGGAUGAAAUUGUAGUUCCUUCUAUAUUUAGUCUAUUAUUUGUUUGACUAAUAGCUCUUUAAAAAACUCUUGGGAGGCAAAAGUGUGUGGACCAACGUAUCUAAUAGUUUGUCAGCAUAUUGUGCUGGCACAUAACCAUCUGAGCAGGACUUUGCCUGCACUGCUGUGGUUACCUUGUUUGUGGACCAUCACUCGAUUGUGCCAUGUGUUUACAUGGUAUGGGAACACGAUUAAUUUUGCCAGAUUUGACAGAUUUUCUCCUAAUCAGCUAGAGUAUCACUUGACUAUAAGUUGUUAAAGUUCACAAAUUGCCAAGAUGUGGACAAGUGGGAAGUGGCAUGUAUCUAUCAUGUACUACAUAUUUAAUGGAAUGUUUAAUUCAUUUUUGGCAUUUAACAUAUUUUGACAGUAGUGUAUUUUCAUAUACUUUUGUAUUGACUUGUAUGGUCUAUGGCAUUUGCCAUCCAUGUUUUGUACUACACUGGGCGAUCACAUGAUAGGUAGACACUUCACCAAGUCUUCUCUUAAUCAGAAGUAAUAGUGUCGUCAACUCUUGUUAGAGCAUUUAUUUGUAGUAAUUGACUAGCCUAGUGUCUGCCACUGGUCUGGUCACUCAUACCCAUAUCUGUAAAAGUUGUGGGUCGAACACUUACAUUCUCUGCAUGUGUAUUAACAGUGAUGAAGUGUUAACUACAGUCAAGUGUCAGUUAGCCCAGAGGACCAGGACCACAUUAUUGGGAACAAAAUAAAACUUGUGUGAAAUGAA
rnacentral:misc_RNA from 1 species